AAAUUUUGUUCGCUGCAAUAUUGGUUGAGUAACAAAUUCACAAACAAAUUAAUCGAGAAUCAAAACUUCAGUUCUUCGCUCAACUCCUUCUUCCCUUAGCUUUCCCAGCUGCGUCGUCCCCUCCAAAAAAAAACCUUUCCCUGCUGAGACAAAAAAGCUUUCCCUGCUUCGUCAAUCGGUGGUUUUGGUUCCUCGUGGUAGUUCUGGCCUCCUCGCCAGUCGCUGGUGGUUCUGGUCUCUUUUCUCGCCUCCUCUCCACCGUUAACUUGCUCGGCCGGUGGUUCCAAGGAAGAAGUUAGCUUGCUCGGCCGGUGGUUUCAAGAAAGAAGGUUGCUCAACCGGUGGUUCUCUGUCAAUCUCCUCGCCGCUGCAAUUGGUUGUAGGUAUGCUCGUGAAGAGAUGAGACGUGAUAAUGGAUCACUUCCAAUUUAGGACUACAACCUAGAGCUGGUGGAUCAAAGAGGACAGAAGGUUAAAAUGGAGUAUGUGUCUGAGCAAAGAAAGGCAAGAAGAAGGAAGCACAGGAUCAACAGAAUGUUGAAAGUCUUUGAUACCCAUGCCAGAUUCUGAGGAAGCACUCGCUGCUAAAGAAGGUGGCGAUAGAGGUUCCUACGACAGAAAAACCCUGACUUCCUGUGCUGACACGAAGGCCAUUGGUUCGUGUGUGGUAUUAUUAUUAUAACCUCUCAGUCAAUGGUAUUGCUGUUCAGUUAUUUAGCACCAAAAAUGAUAUAUGUCCUACUCCAAUUUGCCUUAACCUGGAUUCUAUGACUAGGUACGAAUUUUUUCUUAAGGAACCGUGAUGAAUAGUCCACCUCUUCAGAGGAUAUUUUUCUCAAUUAUGACUUUCUAAUACAUGUCAACGGUGGGAAACCAUUAAUGGAGGGGGGAAUAGAUGAUUUGAUCGGUAAGAUGGAAGUGCUUGGGAGGUAUAAUGCGUACCGAUCAACAGAGGACUACAACUAAUUUUGAACAGUUGCGACUACUCUGGUACAAUAUAUUUAUAUUUAUUAUUCAUGGAAAAUCAUUGUUUGCAGUUUGAAGCCAAGCCGGGACUCGUGCUCAGAUUUCUGAGCUAGGUAGCAGUCUUCUUGGUCAACUUGUCCUAAGUUGACAUUGUUUGCAGUAAUCAAAAGUUUAUAAAUAUAGACUAAACAGCUUUCAUAUUUGGUUGGUUACUUUUUUGUUCUAUUCUGUAUGAGUAUUGGUGCAUUCCCGUUGUGUAUUAGCUAGAAAUUUGUCCUCUGAGUAUGAACAUAUAUUGGAAAUAUGGUAGAAUAGGUAGGAAUUUAUUCACUCUUAGACCAAUUAAAGGGUUCAAAUGGUAUUUCUAAACUAGCAGAACUUUGAUGGAUGGAUGGCCUUCGAGCGAAAUGUAUACAUGUAGAGUUCACCUCUUAUAUAAUCGAAUUCAAAGAGAUUGUAUGCGUACAGUUUAAGCUAGUGUACAAUAUAUUUGUUUCCCUAGGACUGUGGACUGAUAGCUUUUGAGUUGUAGCAAAAAUACUUUAUCACUUGGGAAUGGAAAACAUUAACCAAUGCUGCCUUCAUCAUAAGUACUUUAGCAGGCUGAUAUAAAAACAAGUGCAGGCUGAUAUAAAAAAAAGUGCAGCAGCAUCACCAAUGUACCUGAAUCAGUAACACAGUAGCCACAUGAUUUGUAGAGAAUCCAACAUACCUAAAUCAGAUGGUAGCAUCACACGGCCUUUUGUUUGAUAACUGGCGCAUGAAAAGUUGCACUAGAAAACGCUUUAUUCUCCCAAAUACAGUAUACCAUCCUUGCUCAUAGGGAGAUAUAUUUUGCUCUGGAUUGAUCUGCAGCAACACCUUGACUUCAAUGUUGAUCUGGAUUGAUCUGCAGCAACACCUGAACUUCAAUGUUGUUUAUGGUAGAGUGAGCAGGCGCAAGGUCCCAAUCUCAAAGUUGUGGCAGCUAAGCUGGCUACUAAUCUUACUUGCAUUUUCCAUAAUGAGAUGCAACUAGGAUAGCCAACAAUUUGGGCUGCUGUCUGACAGGUUUUCCUCCUCACAGGAACAUUGAAUACUUGUGAGCAUGUCCAUCAGUCUCUAAAUAUUAGACCUGAGUUGGCUGCUAAUGAAACAGAGAAGAAAAAGAAAAAGAAGGAGUCUUUGCCUGUAAAUGCUUCAGGCAUACAAUGGAUGCAUCCUAGAAUGGACGGACACGCAUUCAACCCUUGCCAGACAAGCAUGCAGAGUAAAAAAGAGGCACCUUCUGCAGAGUAAAAAAGAGGCAAGCUUUCAUUCAACAUUAAGCACGUCUCUUAUUUCUUGUAGUUCCCUGGAUUACUUGUAACAUGCCUUAUUAUCUGAAAUAUUUAAUAAACUAUAAAAAUGAACUUUCCAGCAGCAAAGCCUGUAUUUUUUCCCAUGGGUUUGAGUAUCUCAUGCUGUAUAUUCUUUAUUCA